AUAUCCUUCUAGAGGAGCCUGUUCUAUAAUCGAUAAACCCCGAUAAACCUCACCAAUUCUUGCUAAUACAGUCUAUAUACCGCCAUCUUCAGCAAACCCUAAAAAGGAAAAAAAGUAAGCGUAAUUAUGAUACAUAAAAACGUUAGGUCAAGGUGUAACCUAUGAAAUGGGAAGAAAUGGGCUACAUUCUCUACACUAAGAGAAUCAAGCACGAAAGUUAUUAUGAAACCAAUAACCAAAGGAGGAUUUAGCAGUAAACUAAGAAUAGAGUGCUUAGUUGAAUUAGGCCAUGAAGCACGCACACACCGCCCGUCACCCUCA
rnacentral:rRNA from 1 species